rnacentral:tRNA from 1 species
GGGGAUGUGGUUUAGUGGUAGAGCUCUUGCCUUGCAUGCAUUAGGCCCUGGGUUUGAUCCCCAGCACCACAA